UACAGAGGUCUCAAGCGUUGUUCGGAUUCAUUGGGCGUAAAGGGUGCGUAGGCGGCGCGGUAAGUCGGGUGUGAAAUCUCGGGGGGCUCAACCCUCGAAAGCCGGUGGAUACUGUCGGGCUAGAGUCCGGAAGAGGCGAGUGGAAUUCCCGGUGUAGCGGUGAAAUGCGCAGAUAUCGGGAGGAACACCAAUGGCGAAGCAGCUCGCUGGGACGGUACUGACGCUGAGGCGCGAAAGCGUGGGGAGCAAACAGG
rnacentral:rRNA from 1 species